rnacentral:rRNA from 3 species
ACAACGACUCUCGGCAACGGAUAUCUCGGCUCU